CAAUAGCGUAUAUUAAAGUUGUUGCAGUUAAAAAGCUCGUAGUUGGAUUUGUGGGGUACUUCGGCGGCCCGUCACUAUGUGAUGGAGCUUGCUGAAGUCGCCAUCCUUGGGUGGAUCCUGUGUGGCAUUAAGUUGUCGUGCAGGGGAUGCCCAUCGUUUACUGUGAAAAAAUUAGAGUGUUCAAAGCAGGCUUAUGCCGUUGAAUAUAUUAGCAUGGAAUAAUAAGAUAGGACCUUGGUACUAUUUUGUUGGUUUGCGCACCAAGGUAAUGAUUAAUAGGGACGGUUGGGGGUAUUCGUAUUUCAUUGUCAGAGGUGAAAUUCUUGGAUUUUUGAAAGACGAACUACUGCGAAAGCAUUUACCAAGGAUGUUUUCAUUAA
rnacentral:rRNA from 1 species